UAUAUCUGAAAAGAAACAAAACAUUUAAAUUAGAAAGACACGCAAUUACUGUAGUUCUAAUUGAAAACAACACACGAUCUGCCAACCCACAUUUACACUGUUAAUAAAAAUGAUAAUGAAAUAAUCUGACAACUACCAAUAACAAUUUCUUUAUAAGAUUUAAUAGUUUAAUGGAACUAACUUCUGACACUCUGUGCGAUUAGUUGUGCAAUAAUUGCAUUUUGAAUGAAUGUCUGACAGGUUUUAAAUCCCUUGACUACAAUACAUAUUAAAGCAGAAGUAGAUUUAAUAGUGAAGAAUGCAUCCUUGGAACUGGAGAAGGAACAACUGAGUCCCAACUAUGACAAUUCUUCAGCUGGCCUCAUUGUUUAGUUUAGAAGUGCAGCACCUCCAGCGAGCUGAAUUAAGGGUCAGAUGUUGGGGCAGCAGGUGCUUGGAGUGUCACAGAAGCAGUAUUCUUAACAUCCCAGGAAGGAGGAUUAUAUAAUAUCUGUAGAGCACAUGUAAAUGCAAAGCAUUAAUACCCAGAGGUCGGGAGGCAAGAAGGAUCCCACGGCACACUGAUUUGUUGGGAGAUUAGAAAAAUCAAAAGGCUGCAAGAUGCCGAAGAUACCAUAUGCUUUACAAAUGUAGCUACACCAAAAUUCAGAGUGGACAAUUUUAUCUUUCUAUUGGACAGUACUACAAUGUUACAAAGGAGUCCAAGUGACGAAGCGCCUUCAACUUCAGAGGCCUGGAAAUAUGGCAGGAGGUCACAUGUGCUGAUGGUGAGCUUCUGAGUGUAGGAGUUUCAGGAGGUUACUGCAAGCUGUCCCAAUCACCUCGAUAGAUACAUUAGGGGAGUAAAUACCUGAGAGGGUGAAGAGAUAUUUCAGCUAAAGGACACUGUUGGCACAAGAACAAACGGGUAUAAAACUGGCUGCGAACAGAUUCAGGCUGGAAAUUAGAAGGUUCCUAAGCAUCGGAGGGGUGAGGCUCUGGAACAGCCUCCCAACAGAAGUUGUGGAGGAAAACACCUUAAUUAGUUUUGAGAGAGCAGGACAAAUUUAUGAGUCCAACUGUAUGACCGUGUUGCUUCUGAUGGCAAGGUGCAGGCUUAGCAGCCCUGGAACUAAUUUGUGGUUUAUAUCUUAUGCUCCUAAAAGCUCGUGUUUCAGCCAGCCACCUGUGGGGGUCAAGAAACUAUUUCCCGCUCCACCCCCCAUGUAUUCUGGAAAUUUUUGGUUUUUUUUUUAAAAUCUCCUUCCUCUGGAGCGGCAGGGAUGGCUGCAGCUGGAGAUGGGCCAUUGGAUGGGGAGGGCCAGGGCUUUGAGGUGGCAUCAAGCAUCCUCUCUCAGGUGCUUGGCUGGCUGGUUCUUGCUCACGUGGUCAUGGUCUAAGUGAUCGCCAUAUGUGGGAUUGGGAAGGAAUUUUCCCCCAGGUCAGACUGGCAGUGACCUUGGGGAUUUUCCACCUUCCUCUGUAGUGUCAGUGCGGCUCACUUGCCAGGAUUAUCUGGGUAUAUCUCAUUUCCCUGCCAUGGCGGGGCCUCAGGCACAGGUGCACCUUGGUCCCUCCUAUUCCCUGCCUGUGGCGCAUAAUAGUCUAAUCUCUUGUAGGCUGUUAUCGUUUGGUCUAAUUUUGGUUGUUGGAUUUAGUGUUGGUGGCCUGUGAUAUACAAGCAAUCAGAUCUGGUGGUCCCUUUCUGGCCUUAAACUCUAUGGCUAUGACUCAAGCAUAUUGGCAGUACUGCUCAUUUACUGGAUCCUCAGCUGCUUCUGGAUGUGCAGAUGAUACCAGUGACCAACUGCUUUUUUCCUCACUACUUUUAGCCAGAGGUUGCAACCUUUUCUUUCAGAUUGCUACAGUGAUCCUUGCUUUUGUCACCUCAAGUUUGUACUUAGUGCCAGUACUCCACAGGAUUUGUUAAAUAUCAACAUUCAAUACCUCAGAAAGCAUCUUAGCCAAUUAUUUUAAAACUCUUGGGUGAAAGUUACGUGGUCUGGCAGAUUUUAAAAUGUUUAACUUUAGUAGUUAUUUAACAUCCUACCUAAUUACUGUCAGAAUAAUUGUGAUAAAACAAAGUCAUCCCUUUAAGACGUGAGUAUAUCAUCUUGUUUUCUUCCAAAUAAAGAACAAGUAUGUACUGAAAAAUGCCUUCCCUUCAUCAUUACUUACAUUUUACCAACCCCACCUACUAACAGACUUAUACGAUUGUUAGGAUUUCAUUUGUUCCAGAUAUACAUUUUUAAAUUGUGGCUAUUGGUCCAUAAUAAUUUACCCCUGACUUUAUGAAAAUAUUUACCAUUUAUAUUAUGGCAGUGCCCGGAGUCCCCAAUCAAGAUCAUGGCCCCAUUAUUCUGGCACUGUACAAAUAGAAGUAGAUAUUGGUCCCUGCCCCAAAGAGCUUACAAGCUGGCUAAAGCUAAUCAGUUUUUUGACCGUGAAACAGUUAACAAUGAUUGCAUCUAAAGAUCAAGUACAAAGAAAAAUAUUGGGGUUGUGGCCUCUUUUGCUUCUUCAUAAUGUAUAUUGGAAAGUUUUGCUGUUGGCUUGUUUUCUUUUUUCUUUUUUUUUAAAGGAUUAGAUAUUCAGGUACUGCCUACCCUGGAAUACUAUAGCAACUAUAGUUUGAGAAUCACUACAUAAGAUUUAUACCCUGACACAGGUAUAGUGUGAGCACUUUCAAACUCAUUCUACAAAAUGUAUUGAUCUGCGUUUGUUAGAAUUGUUACAGCUUUUUACAUCUCUAGUGACACUAAGUGAUAACGUCUGCCUGAUCCUUCUCUUACAGCUGAGCCCACGGAAAGCAGACAUUUGUUGAUACAACAGCCUACUCUCUCAUCCUUGUGCAAUUUUAUCUCCUUCCCAAGUUUUACUUGGAGCAGAGACUGAGGUCUGCAAUUAAAUUGAUCAUUGGUACAAAUGGCAAACAAAGAACACAGCGUUCAUUUUGUACUGCAUGGAUGACUCUUCAGUGUCUGAGUUUUAAGUGCUGUAGAGAACUAACCCCAGCAGGUGGCAGCAAUAGAUUAAAGGAAACGGAGAUGCACAUUACUGAAUCUGUGAGAACAGAUGAGCUUCCUUCCAAAAAAUAUACAGCUGCCUUCAUAUUACAAACUAGGCAGACUUUUCGGCGGCCUGAUCUGAAGCAAAACUGUAAGUGAUCAGGGAUUCAAGACAACUUCCAUAAAUAUUCUCCUUUUGUGAAGAGAAUGCCUUGAAAAUGCUGGAGCUGAAAUUAACAACAAAAGCAAGAGUCUCCUGGGGCAGAUACCGUACCAUUAUAAAGGACGUCAAUAAAUUAACUAGUAGUGUUUCACUGAAUACACAGCACUCGUUACAAAAUUACUUGGCAACAAACAAUAAGUAGAUAAUAUUACUGAAUCUCACCGCUGAGUCUGAAAAAGUACUCAUCAUUCAACCAAAGACAACCUUCAUCUCCACACUCCUAAUUGAUGUUAAAACUAUUUUUUGAAUCUGGUUGUUGUUGUUGUUAUUAGGGAUUCACGUACUUUCGUGGAAGGGGAUGCUAGAUUAUUUUCUGCCUAUGUAAGUACAUAAGUAGAUAAGGCAAAAGUGUUCAGAUGCUCUUAGAUGCAUGAAUUGUGUAUCUUCAAUUAUUUUUCAACUUCAGGCCCAAGAUUUAGUCCCUGAGCCUUUGCUUGAUGGCUCUGUCCACUUUUAAAUCUACAGGGACAGAAGUGAGUGGUGUAUUUUUUAGAGAGACUUCUCUUUGAGCAUAAGUGCACCUGCAAAUGCUCCUGAUAUCUGGAUGGCCUCAUCUGCCACUUGUCUCAAAUGUUCUUAAGGCCAACUGAUUAUCAGUUUCACAUUGAUUUUUUGCUGUGACACAGUAAGUUUUUCCUCAGUGCCUCACAUUCUCUGUUUCCCUUCUUUGCUUUUCACAUCCUUCUUUAUCCCUCUACCCUUGCCCUUUGCUUCAGAUCUUGCUCCCUAACAUAAAAGCAACUUUUCUGAAGUGAAGAAAGCGAUAAUGAAAUUAAACCUGCUCUAAACCCAUUGAAGCUAGUCGGAGUUAUAUGCACAUAUACAAGUGUCAGAACAUAAUUAAAAGGGCAAUUUCUCCAAGAAACUUGUUGCCUAUCUCUUACAGAUUAUUACAAAACACUCAAGCAUAUUCAAUAUUAUGUGCAAGAGUUAAUUAAUGCAAUAUGAAGGAAAACAAGCAGAGAAAAAAGUCAGGAAAUGCCAAAAUUUAAGUUUUUUUUAAAACAUAGUGUUAACUUGGCAACAUUGCACAUCCUGUAUAUUUGAAAACUCUCCCAAAAUGAAAUACAGCAUAUUUGUGCAACCUCACCAAGUUAAAGCCUCUAAAUAUAAUAUUAUCUCAAACUUGUGGCACAUUAAAUUGAGAAAAUUAAGAGAAUUGAAAAGUAUGGGAGGGAGAAUGCUACUACCAGUGAAUGCUACCACUGUCAGCAAAAUUUAAAAAAGGGCAACAGAAACAAAAAAGAACUUUUUAAUAAAGUUAAACUGGAAACCUCUAGUUUAGAGCAAUACAGAGUAUUUGAAAAACCAAUCCCCAUUGACAGAAAAAUAAACAGUAAUGAGAAGAAUGUGAUUUCAGAGCAACUUUUGAACUUCCCACUGCUCAGGCUGCAUUGGUAAGGAAGUCUGAUGUCCUCGCAUAGUAUUUUCCAGACGUUUGUCUGAAAAAACUCAAAAUAAACCAAAUCACCAACUACUGCUCAUUGUUUUCUGUUCUUCAGCAAUAUCCAUUAUUUUAACGUUACCCCAUGACAUUUAUUACAUGCACUGAGAGCUAUGAGAUCAGACAUUACUGCACCAAUAUUGUUCAAAUAUUCUGCAAUAAAACAGGUAAAAAGGAGCCCACCUAGUAAACCAUUCACACACAAAGUCUUUCAAUUUUUUUGUUCGGGAAAACUGUCUCCAAAAUUUCAAAGACUAGAGUUACAGCAUAAGACGCUCUUAUUGCUACUGCAUUUUUUAAGGUCUGAGAAGCCUCAAUGCAGUUUUUUAAAUGGAGAGUGAAAUGUUAGCAUGGCAUUAUAUAAUGAGAACAUACUUGGGAAGCUGCAAAAUGCAUCAACAUCUAAGCUCUGAAAAAUGUUUUCCAAAACUUAUGAGGAAUGCAAAAAUACUCGAGAACAAGUGGACUAAGCUUAAGU